GGUUAAGCGACUAAGCGUACACGGUGGAUGCCUAGGCAAUCAGAGGCGAUGAAGGACGUGCUAAUCUGCGAUAAGCGUCGGUAAGGUGAUAUGAACCGUUACAACCGACGAUUUCCGAAUGGGGAAACCCAGUGCAAUCCGUUGCACUAUCGUUUGAUGAAUACAUAGUCAAACGAAGCGAACCGGGGGAACUGAAACAUCUCAGUACCCCGAGGAAAAGAAAUCAACCGAGAUUCCCCUAGUAGCGGCGAGCGAACGGGGAGCAGCCCAGAGUCUUAAUCAGCAUUAGCAUCAGGAGAACGGUCUGGAAAGUCCGGCAGUAAAGGGUGAUAGCCCCGUAUCCGAAGGUGUUAGUGUUGUGAACUCGACGAGUAGGGCGGGACACGUGUUAUCCUGUCUGAAUAUGGGGGGACCAUCCUCCAAGGCUAAAUACUCCUGAUUGACCGAUAGUGAACCAGUACCGUGAGGGAAAGGCGAAAAGAACCCCGGCGAGGGGAGUGAAAUAGAACCUGAAACCGUGUACGUACAAGCAGUGGGAGCCUUGAUUUAUCAGGGUGACUGCGUACCUUUUGUAUAAUGGGUCAGCGACUUAUAUUCUGUAGCAAGGUUAACCGUAUAGGGGAGCCGUAGGGAAACCGAGUCUUAACUGGGCGAAUAAGUUGCAGGGUAUAGACCCGAAACCCGGUGAUCUAGCCAUGGGCAGGUUGAAGGUUGGGUAACACUAACUGGAGGACCGAACCGACUAAUGUUGAAAAAUUAGCGGAUGACUUGUGGCUGGGGGUGAAAGGCCAAUCAAACCGGGAGAUAGCUGGUUCUCCCCGAAAGCUAUUUAGGUAGCGCCUCGUGAACUCAUCUUCGGGGGUAGAGCACUGUUUCGACUAGGGGGUCAUCCCGACUUACCAACUCGAUGCAAACUACGAAUACCGAAGAAUGUUAUCACGGGAGACACACGGCGGGUGCUAACGUUCGUCGUGAAGAGGGAAACAACCCAGACCGCCAGCUAAGGUCCCAAAGUCAUAGUUAAGUGGGAAACGAAGUGGGAAGGCUCAGACAGCCAGGAUGUUGGCUUAGAAGCAGCCAUCAUUUAAAGAAAGCGUAAUAGCUCACUGGUCGAGUCGGCCUGCGCGGAAGAUGUAACGGGGCUAAACUAUGCACCGAAGCUGCGGCAGCGAUAUGUAAAUAUUGUUGGGUAGGGGAGCGUUCUGUAAGCCUGUGAAGGUGUGCUGUGAGGCAUGCUGGAGGUAUCAGAAGUGCGAAUGCUGACAUAAGUAACGAUAAUGCGGGUGAAAAACCCGCACGCCGGAAGACCAAGGGUUCCUGUCCAACGUUAAUCGGGGCAGGGUGAGUCGACCCCUAAGGCGAGGCAGAAAUGCGUAGUCGAUGGGAAACGGGUUAAUAUUCCCGUACUGGUGAUAAUUGCGAUGGGGGGACGGAGAAGGCUAGGCUAUCCGGGCGACGGUUGUCCCGGUUUAAGGAUGUAGGCAGGUGAAUUAGGCAAAUCCGGUUCACUACAUGCUGAGGUCCGACGACGAGUCACUACGGUGAUGAAGUAGCUCAUGCCCCGCUUCCAGGAAAAGCCUCUAAGCUCUAGAUUAUCAUUAAUCGUACCCCAAACCGACACAGGUGGUCAGGUAGAGAAUACUCAGGCGCUUGAGAGAACUCGGGUGAAGGAACUAGGCAAAAUGGUGCCGUAACUUCGGGAGAAGGCACGCUGGCAUUAGGUGAAGUGAUUUACUCAUGGAGCUGAAGCCAGUCGCAGAUACCAGCUGGCUGCAACUGUUUAUUAAAAACACAGCACUGUGCAAACACGAAAGUGGACGUAUACGGUGUGACGCCUGCCCGGUGCUGGAAGGUUAAUUGAUGGGGUUAUCCGUAAGGAGAAGCUCUUGAUCGAAGCCCCAGUAAACGGCGGCCGUAACUAUAACGGUCCUAAGGUAGCGAAAUUCCUUGUCGGGUAAGUUCCGACCUGCACGAAUGGCGUAAUGAUGGCCAGGCUGUCUCCACCCGAGACUCAGUGAAAUUGAACUCGCUGUGAAGAUGCAGUGUACCCGCGGCAAGACGGAAAGACCCCGUGAACCUUUACUAUAGCUUGACACUGAACAUUGAGCCUUGAUGUGUAGGAUAGGUGGGAGGCUUUGAAGCGUGGACGCCAGUCUGCGUGGAGCCAACCUUGAAAUACCACCCUUUAAUGUUUGAUGUUCUAACGUUGCCCCAUUAUCUGGGGUGCGGACAGUGUCUGGUGGGUAGUUUGACUGGGGCGGUCUCCUCCCAAAGAGUAACGGAGGAGCACGAAGGUUGGCUAAGCAUGGUCGGACAUCAUGCGGUUAGUGCAAAGGCAUAAGCCAGCUUGACUGCGAGAGUGACGGCUCGAGCAGGUACGAAAGUAGGUCUUAGUGAUCCGGUGGUUCUGAAUGGAAGGGCCAUCGCUCAACGGAUAAAAGGUACUCCGGGGAUAACAGGCUGAUACCGCCCAAGAGUUCAUAUCGACGGCGGUGUUUGGCACCUCGAUGUCGGCUCAUCACAUCCUGGGGCUGAAGUAGGUCCCAAGGGUACGGCUGUUCGCCGUUUAAAGUGGUACGCGAGCUGGGUUUAGAACGUCGUGAGACAGUUCGGUCCCUAUCUGCCGUGGGCGUUGGAAGAUUGAAAGGGGCUGCUCCUAGUACGAGAGGACCGGAGUGGACGCACCACUGGUGUUCGGGUUGUCAUGCCAAUGGCAUUGCCCGGUAGCUAAGUGCGGAAGAGAUAACCGCUGAAAGCAUCUAAGCGGGAAACUUGCCUUGAGAUGAGUCUUCCCUGACUCUUUAAGAGUCCUAAAGGAACGUUUAAGACUAAGACGUUGAUAGGUUGGGUGUGUAAGCGUAGCGAUACGUUGAGCUAACCAAUACUAAUGAACCGUGAGGCUUAACCUG
rnacentral:rRNA from 1 species